ACGGACACGCACGACUACGACGUCAAGAUGCGCAACGUGCUGCGGUUCCUCGAGGCCGGCGACAAGGUGAAGAUCACGCUGCGCUUCCGCGGCCGCGAGAUGGCGCACCAGGACCUGGGUCGCGACCUGCUCGAACGCGUGGCCGAGGACGUGAAGGAACACGGCAAGAUCGAGAACAUGCCGAAGAUGGAGGGCCGGCAGAUGAUCAUGAUGAUCGGCCCCGUCACCAAAUGAACCGUUGACCGGAUAGCCGCACUUUUGCGGACCGACACGAACCAAAGGCUUGCGCCGUCGC
rnacentral:misc_RNA from 1 species